ACGAGGCAGCAGUAAGGAAUUUUGGACAAUGGGCGCAAGCCUGAUCCAGCAAUGCCGCGUGAGUGAAGAAGGCCUUCGGGUUGUAAAGCUCUUUUGUCAGGGAAGAAACGGUGAGUCCUAAUACGGCUUGCUAAUGACGGUACCUGAAGAAUAAGCACCGGCUAACUACGUGCCAGCAGCCGCGGUAAUACGUAGGGUGCAAGCGUUAAUCGGAAUUACUGGGCGUAAAGCGUGCGCAGGCGGUUAUAUAAGUCAGAUGUGAAAUCCCCGGGCUCAACCUGGGAACUGCAUUUGAGACUGUAUGGCUAGAGUGUGUCAGAGGGGGGCAGAAUUCCACGUGUAGCAGUGAAAUGCGUAGAUAUGUGGAGGAAUACCGAUGGCGAAGGCAGCCCCCUGGGAUAACACUGACGCUCAUGCACGAAAGCGUGGGGAGCAAACAGGAUUAGAUACCCCGGUAGG
rnacentral:rRNA from 1 species